UAAAAAGCUCGUAGUUGGAUCUGUGUAUCGGACGGUCGGUUCGCCGCUCGCGGUGUUUGACUGACCGGUUCGGACGUUUUGCCGGUGGCACCUCGGCGCAAGCCGGGGUUCCGUAACUUACCCUCCGCGCUGCUCUUAACCGAGUGGUUCGGUGGGCCGGCACGUUUACUUUGAACAAAUUUGAGUGCUCAAAGCAGGCCUUACGUUGCCUGGAAACUGUGUGCAUGGAAUAAUGAAAGAGGACCUUGGUUCUAUUUUGUUGGCUUUUCUGAACUUGAGGUAAUGAUUAACAGGGACAGACGGGGGCAUUCGUAUUGCGACGUUAGAGGUGAAAUUCUUGGAUCGUCGCAAGACGGACCGAUGCGAAAGCGUUUGCCAAGAAUGUUUUCGCUAAUCAAGAACGAAAGUUAGAGGUUCGAAGGCGAUUAGAUACCGCCCUAGUUCUAACCAUAAACGAUGUCAGCCAGCGAUGCGCCGAUGUUCCUCCGAUGACACGGCGCGCAACUUCCGGGAAACCAAAGCUUUUGGGUUCCGGGG
rnacentral:rRNA from 1 species